CUAUAAGGAUAUCCCUGGUAAUUCUGAGGCUAAUACUUGACCGUACGCCAUGGUCGACCGGUUUUGCCGGGAGGCUGUGGAACGUGUGAAGGCAGGUCGCAACAAAUUACAGGGAACUGAUGCACGUUCAAACCACUUCCAGAUAGGCAGUCCCUUCUUCGGGAGGGAGUCCCCGUUCGGGUGGCCUUGCAAGGUGCUUCUGACCUAUCAACUAG
rnacentral:rRNA from 1 species